rnacentral:rRNA from 1 species
ACACAUGCAAGUCGAACGAGCGAGAGAGAGCUUGCUUUCUCAAGCGAGUGGCGAACGGGUGAGUAACGCGUGAGGAACCUGCCUCAAAGAGGGGGACAACAGUUGGAAACGACUGCUAAUACCGCAUAAGCCCACGACCCGGCAUCGGGUAGGGGGAAAAGGAGCAAUCCGCUUUGAGAUGGCCUCGCGUCCGAUUAGCUAGUUGGUGAGGUAACGGCCCACCAAGGCGACGAUCGGUAGCCGGACUGAGAGGUUGAACGGCCACAUUGGGACUGAGACACGGCCCAGACUCCUACGGGAGGCAGCAGUGGGGAAUAUUGCACAAUGGGGGAAACCCUGAUGCAGCGACGCUGCGUGGAGGAAGAAGGUCUUCGGAUUGUAAACUCCUGUUGUUGAGGAAGAUAAUGACGGUACUCAACAAGGAAGUGACGGCUAACUACGUGCCAGCAGCCGCGGUAAAACGUAGGUCACAAGCGUUGUCCGGAAUUACUGGGUGUAAAGGGAGCGCAGGCGGGAAGACGAGUUGGAAGUGAAAUCCAUGGGCUCAACCCAUGAACUGCUUUCAAAACUGUUUUUCUUGAGUAGUGCAGAGGUAGGCGGAAUUCCCGGUGUAGCGGUGGAAUGCGUAGAUAUCGGGAGGAACACCAGUGGCGAAGGCGGCCUACUGGGCACCAACUGACGCUGAGGCUCGAAAGUGUGGGUAGCAAACAGGAUUAGAUACCCUGGUAGUCCACACCGUAAACGAUGAUUACUAGGUGUUGGAGGAUUGACCCCUUCAGUGCCGCAGUUAACACAAUAAGUAAUCCACCUGGGGAGUACGACCGCA